rnacentral:sRNA from 1 species
GGAAGGAUCAUUACCGAAUUGUCAACAUGAAGUUGUUGCUGGCCCUCAAAUGGGGGCAUGUGCACACUCUGUUUACACAUCCACUCACACCUGUGCACUCUCUGUAGUACUGUGGUCUGGGGGUUCUGUCCUCCUACUGUGGUUCUGCGUAUUUAUACACACACACUGUAAUAAAGUCUCAUGGAAUGUAUGCCGCGUUUAACGCAAUGAAAUACAACUUUCAGCAACGGAUCUCUUGGCUCUCGCAUCGAUGAAGAACGCAGCGAAAUGCGAUAAGUAAUGUGAAUUGCAGAAUUCAGUGAAUCAUCGAAUCUUUGAACGCACCUUGCGCCCUUUGGCUAUUCCGAAGGGCAUGCCUGUUUGAGUAUCAUGAACACCUCAACUCUCAUGGCUUGCCAUGAUGAGCUUGGACUUGGGGGUUUUGCUGGCCUACAGUCAGCUCCCCUCAAAUGCAUCAGCUUUCCAGUGUUUGGUGGCACCACAGGUGUGAUAAACAUCUACACGUGUGGUUCCCCACCAUGUAACCUUCAGUGAAUGGAGGUUUGCUGGAGCUCACAAAUGUCUUUCCUCAGUGAAGACAGUUCUUUGAUUGUUUGAUCUCAAAUCAG